CCAUUUUCUUGGGUCACCGAAGAACCCACAUCAUGUAGCCGAAACUUCUGGUGCUUGUGUCAUAGACACACCAGUUUUGACCCCAAAAAAAACUUGCUCUCAUGUCUAUAGGGUUGAUGUUGUUGAUGAAAUCUGCCUGUUUUCGCAAGAAUUGAUAUUGGGACGAGAAAAUGGAAGAAAGGCUCAACCAAAAUUGUAGUAGUAAGGAGGAGGAGGAAGAAGGUAUCACAACAACAAGGAUAUUUGUGGGAGGAUUGGGAGAAACUGUGACCAGCGAUGAUAUUCACAAGAUGUUGUCAUCCUUGGAACGGUUAAGGCAGUGGAUAUUGUGAGGACCAAAGGUCGUAGAUUUGCUUAUUUGGACUUCCUUCCCUCAUUCGCACAAUCUCUUUCCAAGCUCUUCAGCACGAGUCCUUGUACAGGUAAUAGCAUUUUUGGGGAGAGAGAUAACUUUAUCGCAGAGAGUUUGUGGUGUCUUAGUUAUGACUUCUUUGUUGAAGAACCAGAGUGAAGGAACUAGUUUGAAUGCAGUGGUGGCAAAGCAAGGGAAAGAGGAUUGAUCAGAAUCAUUGACGAACUGUGAUAUAUUUGAUGGGGAAUGGACGAAGCAUGACUGGCAUCCGUUCUACAGACCUGGGUAACUUGGGUGCUUCUAGGAGCAAUGAGGCAGGUGAGCGUGCUAGCCGGCGUCUCAAGUUAAUGAGCAGAAAGGGAGUAAGAAUGACAUCUUUCAGUUGGCAUGGUGCUUUUGGAAGGGGCAAAAUAGCAGAAGCUUGGGCAGGGAGGGGAAAGGGAUUAGAACUUUGGAAAGAAACCUUCAAGAUAUGGUUCUGAGGUCCUAGUAUAACUGGUUGAAGGAUGUUAUACCUACGAGGUUCUCAGUUUCAGAUUUCAUUGAUAAUCUGGCCUGUUGAGUGGCUAGGAUGAUGUUUUCUGCUUGUUGCUUAGAUGCAUGCUCUGGUAUUAGAAGUUUGGGAAGCAACCUUCAAGGUAUUUAUAUUAUGCAUCCUCAUGAAGACAUUUAUCUUUCUGUGACGGGUGACAAAUGUUAUAAAUCAUGUUUCUAUGUUUUAGUCUGCUUAGUUGAUGUUAAGUAAUGUUUGAAUAA